GUGAGGAAUAUUCGACAAUGGGGGAAACCCUGAUCGAGCAACGCCGCGUGCAGGAUGAAGGCCUUCGGGUCGUAAACUGCUUUUAUGAGUGAAGAAUAUGACGGUAACUCAUGAAUAAGCACCGGCUAACUACGUGCCAGCAGCCGCGGUCAUACGUAGGGUGCAAGCAUUAUCCGGAGUGACUGGGCGUAAAGAGUUGCGUAGGUGGUUUUGUAAGCGAAUAGUGAAAUCUGAAAGCUCAACUUUCAGACUGUUGUUCGAACUGCAAAACUCGAGAAUGGUAGAGGUUACUGGAAUUUCUAGUGUAGGAGUGAAAUCCGUAGAUAUUAGAAGGAACACCAAUGGCGUAGGCAGGUAACUGGACCAUUUCUGACACUAAGGCACGAAAGCGUGGGGAGCAAACCGGAUUAGAUACCCCAGUAGUCC
rnacentral:rRNA from 1 species